CGCCCUGCUUCGGCUCGCGCAGGGUGCACACACCCACUGACCUGUGCCCACUGUCUGGCACUCCCUAGAUAGAUGAACCCGGUACCUCAGAUGGAAAUGCAGAAAUCACCCUUCUUCUGUGUCGCUCAGGCUGGGAGCUGUAGACCGGAGCUGUUCCUAUUCGGCCAUCUUGGCUCCUCCCCCACCCCCGUAUUAUCUUAAAAAUUACAUUGGAAAUGGAUGGGGAGAAGGCCUGAUGAAAAUUACUGAGGAAGCCUCUUAGCCUAUGUGCUCUGAGAGUAGUGACACCUAGCAGUCGUUAAGACCACUUAAAUUAUCCUAAGACAAUGGAUGUGAACAGGCACUUUUCAAAAGAAGACAUACAUGCAGCCAACAAUCAAAUGAAAAAAAGCUCUACAUUACUGAUCAUUAGAGAAAUGCAAAUCAAAACCACACAAAAGAUGAUCAAGAGGAGCAUGAAAAAAUCCCCUGAAUCCAUUGGCUUUCUUCCCUAUACUGACAACAGUUUACUUGUGUAAGAGAUGCAUGCCUCGACUCCGGACCCCUUCUUUCAUCUGCAAAAUCAGCAGCACCCUCACAUCAUCUCCUGUAACAAACUCUCUCUGUCUCCUCCAUAUAAGGUCACUGAUGGUUACAUUUAGGGUCCAUGAUAUAAGGCCCUCUCCAGGGUGCCUGAGUUUGUUGUUUCAUCACAGAAUUACACGGAAGAGACUGGAAAGAUAACUCUUCAAAUGUCAAAUCAUUCCCCUAUAAAAAAUUUUGCCACAGCUGUUGAAAUAUGGCCUUAGGGUUUAUGACAGAAUUUGAACCAGCCCCAUGGAAAAUGCAUCUUGACUCUGCUUUUAUUCCUUUCCCUGCUGAGCUCCUAAUAGAAGAUGGAUGUCUAUUGCUUUUCUCUUGAUAUUCAUGGCACUGCUCCUCUCCAUCCAUAGGAUUAUCUUAUAGAUGAGGGUCUCAUCCUUUUGCCCAGGCUGGAGUACAGUGGUGUGUAUGUAGCACACUGCAGCCUUCAACUCCUGAUCCUCCAACCUCAGCCUCCACAGUUGCUGGGAUUACAAGUUCAAGUUGGUGUGUAUCUGCAAAGGCGAUGGAAAGGAGUUCUUACAUAUGCAUAUUCUGAAGAAGGAUGUUACCCUUACUGAAAAACUUAUUCCAAGAUAUGUUUAAUCAAUCAUGAGAAAAAUAAAGAGACAUCCUUAUGAAUGGAGAAUAAAGUCCUCAGGGUUUUUUUCUAAUUCCCCAUGUGAAUGAAGAGCUGUGUUAUUCUAAAUAUAGUGUUUGUCAUAAGGCAAUUGUGUUGGUUUGAGUCCUUAGUCGCUGUGACACUGAUAGAAUUCCUAUCUCCAAUUGGAAGGUAAGUUGACCUUGCCUCACUUUUGGGCAUUUACAAAGUAAAAGUGUCUUCAUAUUCCAGGUUACAAUCCUCAUAGAGAUGCAGGAAGAGUCCAAAACUACCAAGGCAGACAGAAAUGCACCAUUGAGCUCUGCUGUUGAAAGCAUCUGAUGGUGGCCCAUUCUGAUGAGACAUUGGACUUCCCUAGUAGGAAAGUUUGGUUUGGGGACUCCUGUCUUUCUGGCUCAGAUUUUCUUAGAGCUGCACUGCAGUCUGAGACUCUACCUGCCCCACUCUCUUUCUUUCCCUUUCUUGUCAACAACAUCAGUUCUGCAUUGCAGUCUGAAGGAUUUCUCUGCCUGAUCCUGCUUUCUCCUCUUUAUUCUUUGCAGUUGUUUCUAACUGCAGAAUCUCUUGAAAGUCUACUCCCAUCUGGCCGGGCGUGGUGGCUCAUGCCUGUAAUCCUCGCACUAUGGGAGGCCGAGGCGGGCAGAUCACGAGGUCAGGAGAUAGAGACGAUCCUGGCUAACACAGUGAAUCCCCGUCUCUACUAAAAAAAAAAAUACAAAAAAAAAAAAAAUUAGCCGGGCGUGGUGGCGGGCACCUGUAGUCCCAGCUACCUGGGAGGCUGAGGCAGGAGAAUGGCGUGAACCCGGGAGGCCGAGCUUGCAGUGAGCCGAGAUCACGCCACUGCACUCCAGCCUGGGUGACAGAGCGAGACUCCAUCAAAAAAAAAAAAAAAAAAAAAAAAGUAAGUCUACUCCCAUCUUGCUGUCUGCUUUUCAGAUGACCUAAAUAAAUACUUUAAAAAAUAUAAUUGGUGAAACCCCGUCUCUACUAAAAAUACAAAAAUUAGCUGGACGUGGUGGUGGGUGCCUGUAACCCCAGCUACUAGGGAGGCCGAGGCAGGAGAAUCGCUUGAACCUGGGAGGUGGAGGUUGCAGUGAGCCGAGAUCACGCCACUUCACUCCAGCCUAGGCAAUAGAGUGAGACUUUGUCUCAAAAAAAAAAAAAAAUAAAUUGUUUUGAAGAUGGUGAAUAUGGGAUUAUCACCUCACCUGAGAAUAGGAGUGAGAGAAAUUGAAUAAAUAUAGAGAAGUGAAGUUAUUUCAAUAAGAAUUUUUAAAUUUAAAGUCAUGUAGAUUCUGAGAUGAGAUCAUAUUAGAAGACAAGUUAGAAAUGGACUACUUAGCUUUAAGAAAGAGUUAACAUCUAGGUACAUAUCAAUAAUGGCUAAAUCUAUGAGCAUUCUCCUUGAAUGAUGAAACUCCAUCUUUGUUUCAGUCAUGGAAUUGCGCUGUUGAACUUUUUGUGUCCUGUCUAGGGCAAGUCUUAACUGCAUCAGCCCUCAUUACAGGUUAAAUACACCCAAAGUCCCUAAUCAACAUUCACUGCAUGUGUUUGUAAGUAAAAGCAUUUGCGUUUCAAUUAUGGAAGAGUCUUUACUGUAAUAUGGAGACUAUCUGAGCUUACUUUUGUUAUUUCUGUAAAAGUAAGUUACCAGCCCACAUUUAUCUAUUAACUUUUUGCAAUAAUUGUAGUAUAAUUUGUGAGCUUAUUAAGAAUGUGAUUGUUUUUUAAAUAUUUGGAAACAUUCUUUCUACAAAAUACUAAUAGCUCAGAUGGGAAAUAUUUUGAAUAAUUGUAUGUUUUAAGUAUAGUCAAUAAAUCAAAUAAAUUUCAAUUCAUAACAUUUUUCAUUAGAUGACAAUGUUAUAUAAACUUAAUAUAGUUUCAGUGAUAGGUUAUAUUUGUUUUUUCUUCCUAUUCCCUUAGUUCAUCUUGAAGCUCAUUCUGGGUGUGUAACUGAUUCCAAAGGCAAUUUCCCUUCAUCCUCAGUUUUAGGAACUCCCAGGAACCAAAGCUUAAAUAUCUAUUUUCUUAGGAAGGCUACAUUUAUAUAAAUGUAUUAAGCCUGAUCCCUCUCUGAGAGCAAAUAUAAUUACAUUUGUUUUUCCCAGUUUGUAAUAAAACUUUAAAUAAAGAUCUCUAGAUAAAGGACUUUUACCCCCCUGGUUAAAAUCUGCUUUCUUGUUUACUUAACAUUUGGUGGUGAUGCAAUGUAUAAGGUAUCGGCCAAGGAAUGACUCUGUCUUUUCCUGUUGUUUUCUUCUACAGGUUGUGUUUCACAUGGAUGUGGGUAUGGUAUGCCACAGCAAUAUGACAUCUUGAUUAUGUGUAUCUGUCAAGACUGUUUUAAAGAACAUUCUCACCUCAGAUUUCUUAGGUCAUAACAUUAUAUUCUUGGUAUUCACAGCCUAAACUGUCAUGCAGAUGGAAUACACUUUGCUUUCUUGGUGAUCUGUGGUAUAGAGAAUGAGUUCCAGUUACCAUGGGAAAUGUAUUUGUUUGUUGGCUUGUUUCUUGUCUUAAUAGUGGUUUGUAUUAAAAGUAAAAUCAGAAAAAUAUCUAAAAAAUCUAUUGAGAUGGUGGCGAACAUUACGAAUCUUAACCUUCUUAUAGAAUACCCAAAGAACAGAUCUAAAGAAUUUCAAUAAUGACCAUAGGUUAUGUCAAAUAGUACAUUAGCUAUAUAUAUAUAUAUAUAUAUAUCUGUAAUAAAUAAUAUUUUGAUUAAUUUUCCACCAGAUAUAUACAUAUGUAAUUUUCCUGCUAAUAUAUAUUUGUACCAAAUCUGUACAUUUGAACUUUCCCUUCCAAACGUUUUUUUAUUUGGGUAUAGUUAUUAGCAGUCAUCUGUAGCAGGUCAGAGUGCUGGAAGAGAGGCUGGUAGACAUCAAAAUAAAUGACUUCCGUGCCACAUCUGAGAUGCCCUAGAGGCCGAGAUCAUGAUUCCCUUUGUCAAAUAAACUAAAAGUUCUAGAAUUUUCAGACUCCUGUUAGUUUCUGCUACCACUUAAGUGUUAAUAGCUAAUAAUAGAGCAAGCUUGAUUACUACCUUGGUGUCCUAAAACGGAUGUUGGCCUGCCAGGUAAUGUCCCUCCAUUUGCAUCUUGUUUUUUCUAUCUAUGUAGCCAUGGAGAACACGUGCCACAAUUUACAGGGGAUGGUCAUCUUAUCUGUAAAAUAAAGUGUUCCCGUCAGAUGAUCCCCAGUAUGCUGAGUUGUGUUUCUCUGAGGCACCCACCACCACGCUGGGCUAAUUUUUGUAUUUUUAGUAGAGACGAGAUUUUACUGUGUUGGCCAGGCUGCUCUCAAACUCCCUACCUCAGGUGAUCUGCCCACCUUGGCCUCCCAAAGUGCUAGGAUUACAGACAUGAGACACUGUGCCUGGCCGAGCUGCUGAUUUUUAUUCAAGAGUCUAUAGUUGUUUUUCCUUUUUUUCUUAUUUUCUACUUAACUUCCAGGAGGCAUGAGUGUGGACUGAAUGGAACACUAAGAUUUCUUCCAGUUCUAUGAUUUUAUGAAUUAUUACUUGAUAACUCUAUAUAUUGGCAAUGACAUAGAUGAGAAGUUUUCCUGAUUUCUAUUCCACUUCUUUUUUUUUUUUGCUUCUCUUUCUCCUAGGAAAACAAUAUUUUUUUCCCCAGAUUACCAUAUCUUACUGUAGUAAAGAAUAAUUAAAAUAUUCAAAAGCAAAGCGUCACUGGCUGCCAAGGCUCUUAAAAAUGCUCAAACAUAUUUUAGGUCUGUAAAGAUUAUCUUUUCUCAUUCUUCAUACAACACUAAAAUAUUAAUCCUGACCAUAGUGUGACUAUAUUAGUAUUAGUAUGAGUACUUUUAGAUGCUUAGUAAUUAGUUCUGCAAAAGAUUGAUAAAAGACACUAUCAUAUCUAUGAGAAUUCGAGAAUCAUAACUUGUCUUCCUGUUUUAAAUGCAUGCUUAGAUAACUAAAAAUAAUUUUAAACUGUUAUCAGUCUCAUUAUUUUUAGUGAAAAAUACACCUUUCUCCAGAUACAUAUUCCUUUAUCUGGGAAAUAUAGAUGGAAUCAGUGAUAUACCUGUUGCUGAGCACAUUAUUAUAUCAUUAAUGCUUAUAUAUUUCAAAUUAUAUGCAUAUUCUCUCCAGAGUGAUUAGAUCCCUUCUACAGUUAGGGUAAUGAAGGCUUUAUUUGCCUGAGGGGACACAGGGAACCAUUUAGGAGAGUGAGGCAAUUAAGCAAUUAUAUAACAUUUUGAAAACAUUCAAUACUUCCCACCAUUUGAUUUGUACUUCUGGAGAACUGCUUUUCUCAUACUAGCUGGUUAGAAUAGUAAAAAUCCUCACACCCUCCCCUCCCAUCUGUCAUUUUUUUUGGUCAUGAAAUUAUACCUCAUUUUACAAAAUGCAUUUUUCUGAGAAACUAAUGCUUACAUUGAAUUUUGCAAGUUUAAUAAUUAAGGAUUGGAAUGUUUUAUUUAAAAUAAUUAAGAUUAUUUUUUAAAAGUAUCACGUGUGAAAGUAAUUAUCACCCCCAAAUUGUAUUUUGCAAAUUGUGCCUAUUUUAUCACUACUAUACAUUUAGGACGAAAAGAAAAAAAGUUGGGGGUGGAUAAUCUAUCAUAAUACAAAAAGAAAAACUCUUGAGUCAGUGUUACUUUUCAUUGGGGAAAAGGCAGGUGGGAAAAAUAGAUAAAUACAAGUUAGAGUUAAUCCUAAAAUCUCAUUACAGCUUAAAAUAUCAAUCUCUAGAAAUACAAAACAUUUGCCAAAAUAAUUGUUAAUAUGUGCAACACUACCCAAAUUAAAAAAUGCAAUUCUCCCUUCUGCUAGUCCUCCUUCUGUACCAAUAUAAUUAGCAAUAAAAUUGAAGGCAACAAAAAUAAGAAAAGACAUAAUGAUCCUGGAAAAUCUACAAAAUGGAUUAUCAUUUUCUAACAAUUGUUAAUACACUGUGUUUUUUAUGUGGUGGUGUGAUAACAUUUUUUUCUUGCUUUCUUGUAAGUUAGGUACUGUGCUAUAUUUAUCUUUGACAGGGCACCUAGCAUCUGAUAGAAAUUCUAAACAGCAAAUGGUAGUAUGAUAUUUUUAUUAUCUAUGCCUCUUAAAACUCUGGCCAAUAGCAAGUAACACCAUUUCCACCUCCCAGAGGAGAAAGAUAAACACAAAAGGAGCUUAAGUGGAUAAAUCACAUAGCAUGGACACAGAAUCUUUUCUAAAUAAAUAACCUAUUAAAAUAGAAGUUGGCAGUCUUAUAAAAAGAAAAUAAAAGUUCUGAUGAGGAAACCUGGGUUGUUUCUCAGCUCUAACUACAAAAAUAAACAUCCUUGAGAAAUUGCUGAACCUCCUUGUUCUUGCUUAAUGUAAAAUGAGAGGGCAAGAUUAAAUGAUCUCAAAGCUCCCUUUCAGUUCAGGGACUGUGAAAUAAUAUGGUAAAUAGGCUUACUUAGGACCUUCUCGGGCACUAGCACUUUAAGAGUUUUACGUGGAUUGUAUAAUCAUCAAAAUAAUCCUGCAUAAUAGACACCAUUGUUAGUUGCAUUUUAUGAAGAAAGUGAGGCUUAACCAUUGAAGUAUUUUACACAAUGUCAUGUGUUUAGGGAGCAGCCAAGGUGAAGUUUUCAACCAGGCCGACCAACUUCAGAGUCCACUGGCUUCAAAACAGUGCUUUACAUCCUCCUUCCAACAUUAUUCACAAGCCGAUCAAGACUGAGAGAGUCACAAGUGUGUGAAACCUGUAUUCUUUCUGACUUCAUUUUCCCUGGUCGAAAUUUUUGUAGAAUAGACAAAUCAAGAAUGAUGACUUCUUAAGAUGCAGUAUUCAAGUUCAGAAAUCUAUACUCAGAUGACCUUAUGUAGGUCAUCUGCUUCUGAGGUUUAUCUCACCAGUGAGAGUUGAAAACAUAUCCUCUACUUAUAUUAAACUAGGAUGCAUAAGAGGGUUGAUAAAAUGGAAUUCAAGUGAACA
rnacentral:lncRNA from 10 species